rnacentral:lncRNA from 1 species
CAGGAAGUGUUGUAAAUGAGCACUAGCAUCUUCGUUUGCCUUCCCACAGAACUGGUUGGAUUGCACCAUGUUGAUAAGUCCAGGCUUGAGCUCAAAGUUGCCAUUGAUCUCUGCAGCAGGUCCAGUGCGGAUGUUGUCCGUAGUGGGAGCUGAGAACUCGCGGAUUGAUUUGUUCGCCAUGGCUUGGCUGAAGUGUUGAUUGGAUGAAGCUUCUUGCUGAAGUGUUGAUGAUUUCUUCUUGAGCUUGGCUCUCGUCUUCUUGAAUAAUGCUUCAGGAUUGUCAACAAAUUUUCCUGGAAGAUGUCUUCUAUUCAUACAUUCCCCUGCAUAAGAUGAAAUAGGAAAAUAUCAGGGUAAAACUGUAUGAGAGAAUAGAUAAGCUCAAUCAUAUUAGUGAUGCGAAUGAUAACUCAAAAUCCUUU